AUUGAACGCUGGCGGCAGGCCUAACACAUGCAAGUCGAGCGGAUGAAGGGAGCUUGCUCCUGGAAUCAGCGGCGGACGGGUGAGUAAUGCCUAGGAAGCUGCCUGGUAGUGGGGGAUAACGUCCGGAAACGGGCGCUAAUACCGCAUACGUCCGGAGGGAGAAAGUGGGGGAUCUUCGGACCUCACGCUAUCAGAUGGGCCUAGGUCGGAUUAGCUAGUUGGUGGGGUAAAGGCCUACCAAGGCGACGAUCCGUAACUGGCCUGAGCGGAUGAUCAGUCACACUGGAACUGAGACACGGUCCAGACUCCUACGGGAGGCAGCAGUGGGGAAUAUUGGACAAUGGGCGAAAGCCUGAUCCAGCCAUGCCGGGUGUGUGAAGAAGGUCUUCGGAUUGUAAAGCACUUUAAGUUGGGAGGAAGGGCAGUAAGUUAAUACCUUGCUGUUUUGACGUUACCAACAGAAUAAGCACCGGCUAACUUCGUG
rnacentral:rRNA from 1 species